CACUGUACAGCUAUCCUAGCGUUAACCCUUUAAGUUAAAGAUGGGGGGGAAACAUACCCUCUACAGUGA
rnacentral:tRNA from 1 species